UUACCAAGGCGAUGAUGCAUAGCCGAGUUGAGAGACUGAUCGGCCACAUUGGGACUGAGACACGGCCCAAACUCCUACGGGAGGCAGCAGUAGGGAAUCUUCCACAAUGGACGCAAGUCUGAUGGAGCAACGCCGCGUGAGUGAAGAAGGUUUUCGGAUCGUAAAGCUCUGUUGUUGGUGAAGAAGGAUAGAGGUAGUAACUGGCCUUUAUUUGACGGUAAUCAACCAGAAAGUCACGGCUAACUACGUGCCAGCAGCCGCGGUAAUACGUAGGUGGCAAGCGUUGUCCGGAUUUAUUGGGCGUAAAGCGAGCGCAGGCGGAAAAAUAAGUCUGAUGUGAAAGCCCUCGGCUUAACCGAGGAACUGCAUCGGAAACUGUUUUUCUUGAGUGCAGAAGAGGAGAGUGGAACUCCAUGUGUAGCGGUGGAAUGCGUAGAUAUAUGGAAGAACACCAGUGGCGAAGGCGGCUCUCUGGUCUGCAACUGACGCUGAGGCUCGAAAGCAUGGGUAGCGAACAGGAUUAGAUACCCUGGUAGUCCAUGCCGUAAACGAUGAGUGCUAAGUGUUGGGAGGUUUCCGCCUCUCAGUGCUGCAGCUAACGCA
rnacentral:rRNA from 1 species